CCGCGCGCACACCGCUAUAAACCCUAGCUCCGCCCUCUACCGUCCCCUACCGGCCAUCGGCGGCGGCCUCCCGCGUCGCGGAUCGCUGGUGAUGUUCCGCCUUCCUCACCUCCGCAGGAUUCGUACCGUCGCCAAGCCACCCCACCUCCUCCGCGUGUCCCCGUGGCAACUAUAUCCGUGGGGUUCGGAUUGCCGGCGCCGCGUCCGUGCACCCGUGCCUCUGGCUACUCCCUCCGGCAGCCAGGCCUCGUCUACGACCUCCGCCACGACCUCCCGUGCUCCUGCUCCUCUACCCCGACGCCUGCGACCACCUCCUGGACCCUGCGUCGACCUGGGCUCCUCUAGUGCUCCGGCUACCCUGUGGUGCUGCUACUUUCGCACCUCAGGCUCACCUCCCCGUGCUGUAUUUGUAUAUUUGGGAGAUCAAAUAUAUUUAUCCAAAUCUGGAGUAGGUGCCCUGAGGUGAUGAACACCACGCUGAAGGGUUGCACUUUUGGUGCUUGAUGCAAUGGCUCUAUAGAGCAAGGAAGACAGUGAGAGAUUAACAUGGUUGUGCCGCGUCUGCACUUGGAUGGUUUUAUUUCCUAAAGUUUUUGCUGUGUGCAGUUUGAGUGCUCUAUAACAGGAACCUACUUUAGUAUUUUUCUCAGAGUACAUGCAUUAGUUCUCCAUAAAAGGCUGGAUUACUAGAAGCAAUUAAAUGAGUGCUGGAUAAACAAAAGUGAGAUUUUGCUACCCCUUGUACAUUGCAGGCCAUGGACGCAUGUAUUCUUUCACUGAGCCUGUAGGUAUAUUUCCCAACUCAGAUAUAGCCCUUUUGAGAGAAUGUAUGUGUGAACAUGGCAGUCAUACCUGAUUUACGGUUUAUUAACUCAUUUCUAUAUGUUCUUCCAUUUUGUAUUCCAACAUCAAGUAAGGCAGCUUCUAAAAUCCUAGAAUAUCAUUUUUGAAAAUACUAACGCAAUUCUGAUUUCUGUAGAGUAUUACUUAAACGACUACAAAUGCUUUCUUUUAGUGGUGGUCUGGCGGAUAAUUUUUUAUUUACAUGUGAGUAUGAGAAUCCUUAUGAUCUUGAUACUUUGUAAGAGAUUAAUAGCUUAGGCCCAGUUUAUGAACCUUCUAUUGAAACUGGGAUGCUAUGCAUUUGAGUUCAAGAUGUUACUGUGAUGUGAUUCAGAGAUAUCGUUGUAUAUUACUAUAUCUGUCAUACUCUAUAUAUUCCUUCAACAUAUCAGAGUGAAUGGCAUUUUGUUGCUAUAUCUCCGUCUUGCACCUUAAUUCUUGUAGACUGGAUAGAAGGUCAAAUGCAAGAAUUUCGCAACAAACUGGAUAGAAAACAAAUCACUAUAUGCAAGGCGUGCGGGUACGACCUAAAGCUAAGCUCUCUGGUGCUGUACAUGGCGGCCGGCGUGACGAGGCGGCGACGGAGGGUGGUGGUGUUUGAGGCGGACGUAGGGUGGUGGUGGUUGCUGUGCUGCAAGUGCGGCGCCCACCUCGGGUACGGCUACUACGAGCAUGACACCACCGCCGACAGCAAGGCUCCCCGUUCGCCAAGGAGUACCAGAAGCAUAUGACUGGCAUGGAGGAAGAUCUUCCUGCUCUGGGGCUGGAGCGCCUCAAAUAAAUGAUCAAGAAAUGCCAGGCUACGCCCUGUUCCACGCAGGGCCUCGGCGACGAGAGAGACGUCGCUGUCCCAGGAGGUAGCCAUUGCUAUGGAAUGGGUUCCAGAAGAUUGACAAGAUCAAGGACUCUAACAGGCAGUCCAAGCAGCUGCAGGAGCUCACUGGGAAGAUGAGGGAGUGCAAGCGCUUAAUCGCAGACCUCGCAGGUGUUGGUGACGCCCUUGCCAGGCCUCGGCUGCGGCCGUUCGUUCAGGAACACCACGCACGCUCUGUUCAGUGGAGGCCGGUGGGCGAGGCAGAGCGGGCAGCAAGGGAGCUGCUAGA